rnacentral:rRNA from 1 species
GACGAACGCUGGCGGCGUGCUUAACACAUGCAAGUCGAACGGAAAGGCCCUGCGUUUGUGGGGUGCUCGAGUGGCGAACGGGUGAGUAACACGUGAGUAACCUGCCCUUGACUUUGGGAUAACUUCAGGAAACUGGGGCUAAUACCGGAUAGGAGCUCCUGCUGCAUGGUGGGGGUUGGAAAGUUUCGGCGGUUGGGGAUGGACUCGCGGCUUAUCAGCUUGUUGGUGGGGUAGUGGCUUACCAAGGCUUUGACGGGUAGCCGGCCUGAGAGGGUGACCGGCCACCUUGGGCCUGAGAUACGGCCCAGACUCCUACGGGAGGCAGCAGUGGGGAAUAUUGCACAAUGGGCGGAAGCCUGAUGCAGCAACGCCGCGUGCGGGAUGACGGCCUUCGGGUUGUAAACCGCUUUCGCCUGUGACGAAGCGUGAGUGACGGUAAUGGGUAAAGAAGCACCGGCUAACUACGUG